CAAGUGAGAGAUACAACCACAAAGUACGAAGAAAGGGACGGGCCUGGGAUGAAGCUGAAGCGGUAGCCAUUAUACGACCAACCCCGUCAUCAGUUAUCAAAUUUUCUCAUACCGACGUAAAAGAUGGCGCAAGCAAGUUUGUACAAAAAAGGUAGAUAUAAUCGCUAUGAAUUUCGAUUUACAUGCAGACAGGUUGAAAACGUUAAGCGCUGUGUGAAACUUUCGAGUAAAACAAAUUUUGAGUGUAAAACUUUUUGACUACACUUCUACAAUAGGCCUUUUCAUGUGACAGGUUCGUCUAUGCAUUUGUUUACAUCGGUGGAGGACCGGUGCUAACACGGAUCUGUCAUUUUCAUAGAAGAACAGUUAUAGAGCUUCCGGAUCAGCUGAUUUGAAACGUCUCGUGAAACUUUGGGUAGGCGUAUUUAAGUAUAUUAUUUAGAGCAUUAAAAAAUGGACGUUGAUUUUGAAUACUGCUUGAUUCAAUCAUGCUCAUGCUCAUGCUGCUUGAUUCAAUUGCUGCAAGAAUUUUUGAAAUCACGUCAAAAACAACAGAGAUAUGCAUUGUCAAAGUUGGACUUCUGACUUUUUCAGGGGGUUGGAUGUGCAGGUAUAAGGUACGUUUAAUCAUGGUACAUCAUAAUAGCGCCACUGAGUGAAAUAUAUCAGGCCUAUGAAUAAGUUCUCCAAACACAAUAUCAUUAUAUUUUGUGUCCUUUUCAAGAUAUUUGCGCAAAUCACUGUCCUCAAUUUAGGACGCUGGGCGUUAACGGAUUAAGCAGCUAACCCCAAAGUUCACUUUUGGUGGAAAUCUAGUUUCAGUGAAACUUUUUCGCUUAUUAAGAGAACGCCACGGAUAUCAACAGAACUCGAUUCUCAAAAGAGUAACUCAUGACCCUGUCAACAACUAGAAUGUUUGAAUUGAACUUCUCUCUUACUUGAAGGUUAAUAUCAUAAGCAACUUAAACGAACUUUAAGUAAACUGAAGUUAGAUUAA